GCAGUGGUGGCUCAGUAGUUGAGGGCUUUGGGUUGCUGACCUGGGGGUCGGGGUUCAAGCCUCAGCACUGCC